rnacentral:ribozyme from 11 species
AAAAAUGGAUGAAUCGGCCACAAAUUUUCUUGUUUCAAAUGUUUGACUUGUUCUUUGUAGAGUAUAUUUUUAAUCAUAUAUCU